AUAACUCCUCUAACUACAAGGACCGAAACAUCUAGCCCUUCCUCUCGACAUUGAUGCAACCCUGGAAAUAAUGAUAUAGAGUAAGAAGAAAGAAAAUAAAAGUGAAGGAUUACUUGGAAACUGGGAAGUGUUCACAGAGGAAGAAUAACUCUAGUGAAUGAAUUAAAGAAAAAAGAAAGGAAUGAAAGAAAGGAGAUCUAAG
rnacentral:lncRNA from 1 species